rnacentral:rRNA from 1 species
GCUUAAAGAGGGGUUAAUGUCCUAUCAGCUAGUUGGUGGGGCAAUGGCCUACCAAGGCAAAGACGGGUAGCCGGCUUGAGAGGGUGGUCGGCCACACUGGGACUGAGACACUGCCCAGACUCCUACGGGAGGCUGCAGUCGAGAAUCUUUCGCAAUGCCCGAAAGGGUGACGAAGCGACGCCGCGUGUGGGAAGAAGGCCUUCGGGUUGUAAACCACUGUCGGGAGUUAGGAAACGCAAGAGCGUUAACAGCGCACUUGCUUGACUAAGGCUCCAGAGGAAGCCACGGCUAACUCUGUGCCAGCAGCCGCGGUAAUACAGAGGCGGCAAGCGUUGUUCGGAAUUAUUGGGCGUAAAGAGCACGUAGGCGGCCUUGCAAGUCAGUUGUGAAAGCCUUCCGCUUAACGGAAGAACGGCAUCUGAUACUACAGGGCUUGAGUAUGGGAGGG